UUUCUCUAUUUUCUUUCUCUUUCUUUUUCUUUCUUCUUUCUUCAUCUUCUUCUCCAUGUGCUCGUUCCUGCUGGUGAUUUGAGAGACGAGAGAGAUAUUAUGAGAUCGAGGUUAGAAGAGUCUGAUCAAGAAUAAACUGAUGGUGGUUGUGUUGUUGUGAUUAAACUUAAGAGGAAGUUGAUUCGAGAAAUCAGUGAGUUAGGGUUUCUGGAUUUGAAGUUAGAUUUGUAUAUAGCUGAUGAUAAUGAAUUUGUGUUGUUGUUGGAUGAAGAGUAACUGGGUCAUUGUUUAAUUCAUGUUAUGGAAUAGUUUUGAGAAGAAAUUGCAGAGCUGGGGUUUCUGAUAUGAAAUCGAAGAUUAGGUUUCAUGAAACAAAUUGAUGUUGAUGAAAUCAAGAAGUUAGAAGAUGGGUUUGUUCUUAAUUGACGAUUGUUUGAAGCUGUAAUGUUGUUUGAGGAUUAAAUCAAGAAGCUAGGGUUUGAGUUGGGUUUCAUGCAUGGAAGAAUUGAGCUGUAGAUUGAUAAUGAGAAGAUGAAAUUAAUGUUUUGAUAAGGAUAUUUGAGAUGGGUUUUAAUAGUUUGAGUGGAUUAGGGUUCGGAUGAAGAGUAAUUAGGAAUUGAAGAAGUCGAGGUUUUGAAGUUGAGAUCGAUUGAAGCUCAUGUUUGGAUUUGUUGAAGAACUAGGGUUCGAUUCUCGUAUCAAGAAGGUGAUUAAGUUACUAUUGGUGCUGGUUCAGUGAACCUAUUAUGAGGUAAUUGAUUUCUCAAUAACUUAGUACAGUUAUUAUGUUCUGUUUUGAGUUUAUGGGUUUGUUAAUUGAACUAAGAGUUGAGAUGGAUGUAUGUGUGUUGAAUGGACCUGAGGCUUUGAGAAUGUUUCGUGGUGUUGCUUUGACUGUGUUUGUGUAGCUAGUAAUGUGAUUGAGAUACAAUGUAGGAUUGAACCAAGUGGAAUUAGAUAAUGGAACUGAAAUUGCAGAUAGUGUUGGCUGGAGAUAAUGUAUUUGGCAGGGAAGAAGAUUUAGUGUUUCAAAUGAAGAACAUAUAUGUGAUGCUGGAGUCAUUACACUUAAGUGGAGCUGUUAGUGUUGAGAUUCACAGAUGUAAGGGUCAUUGUGGUUGCAGUGGCAGUUCAAUUGUGUUGGUGGUUUGAGAUGAUGUUUUCUGUGUAACUGAAGAUGUAGGGUAUUGUGAUUUGGUCCGGAGGUGAACUGUAAUGGGUGCAGAUGAGAAAUGUGUUGGAUAUGUGUGUAUUGAGUUGAUGAUGCUAAAACUGAACUCGGUGGUAAUGUUGUGAUGAUGUUAAGUUGGUUAUGGUAUCUAUGAAGCUGUAAUUUUGACUGACUUAGUAGUCUUGGUUCUGGGAGAGGCCGAAUCUAGUUGAACUGAUGAGACAUUGCUGGUUGAGUUACAAUUGUUCAGUGGUACUGUUGUUGGUGAUUAUAGAGUAGCAGGUGAUGAUAUGAACUGAGCUUGAGUAAGGCUGUGAGAGUUUGUAAUUGAGUCAUUCAACUGAAGUUUGGUGAAUUCAGAGUGGUGGAUUGUAUUUGCUGUGAAAGCUUGUUACUGCUUUUGCAGUUAAACUAUAUUAACAACGAUCGAUUCAAAGGACGAACCAGUGGAUCUCGAGGUAGGCGUGGCUUGUCAUCAAAAGAGGCGGGAAUACAUUUGACUCUCUUGUAACCAUUGAUGUUUUUUUUAUAAAGAUUUAUGUUUAUCAAAUUCAUACAUUAUCUAGUUAUGCAUUCCAUGUUGAUUAUGUUAAUCUCCGUGGUUUGGAAAGGACUUGUAAUGUUUUGUUGUCAAUAUGAAUUGUUAUGGGAAA